UCUAACUACUGUAUCUACUGUGGUAGGCACAUUCAUAUACAGGAUUUUCCUUUUAUCAUUAUAUAUGGCACUACAUUAUUUUGGUUUUACAAAUAAAAGACCUGAGAUUGGGUAAUUUGGCUAAGGUCAAACAGCUGUUCAGUGGAAGAGCUGGGAUCAAACUCCAAGUACUCUAUGUCUGGGUUCAUUCAUUUUAUCUUCCCGAAAACAGAGCCAUUAAGAAGUAAAACCACUUAUCUAAUGUUCCCAACUAUUUGCUGAAGAAGCCACAGUUGGUACAUGGACCAUUUCAUUCCCAGUCUGUUUGGAUUCUUUCAUUGACAUCUGUUGCUACCAGUAACAUUUUUUAGAUGACGACACAUAACCUCAGGCUUGACACCCUAAGGAAAAUGAGAAAGGGUGACACAGACAGAGUUAGACCUUCAUUUAAACAAAAUAGUUUACCACAAAUAGGGUGCAGUGAGUGUAUUGGGUUGAAUAGUGUCCUCCAAAAAUUCGUUUCUACUCAGAACCUCCAAAUGGAUUUGGAAAUUGGGCCUUUGUAGCUGUAAUUAGUUAAAGGUCUAGAAAUGCAGAUCUAUAAGUUAAGAGUGUAGAGGUGAAAUAAUCUUGGAAUUAGAGUGGCUCCAAAAUCCAGUUGUGAUUACCCUUUUAAGAGCAGCAGGCACAUGGAGAGACACUCAGGCAUAGAGGAGGUAGAGACAUAGGGAAGAAAACCAUGUGAAGAUGAAGGCAGGUGCUGGGAUUAAAAGAUGCAGCAAGCCAAGGGUACUAGGCACUGUCAGCAAUCACCAGAAGCUGGAAUAGAGCCAUGAGACAGAUUGUUCCUAUGACAUAAUUUCUAUCAAAAUAAAAAUAUGUUACCUGGGAAGACUAACAUAUCCAACAAAAACUUAAUAGCAGUGUUCUUUUAAAAAAUGAUAAUUGUUUCUAAUAUCUUAUUCUAGAAGAUCUUAGGCUCCUUCAGAGUAUUUUAACUGGAUUUGAGCAAGGGUUUUUGAAAGUAAAAGUCAAAUGCUCCUGGCUUUAAUUUCUGAGAGUUGCAAUUAUGGUAAAUCAUGACUAGAUCUUUAAAACAUACUUGGUAUCACAUUAAUAUCCUAAAACUCAUGGUGAUAUAGUAUACUUGAUUAUAGUUUGCAGUCCAAAGAAAGGUAUUUUGAAAGCAGUAGAUUUAAAUUUUGUAUUGAAUGUGUUCUCUAUAUUUCAAGUAUAGUAGAACUACAAAUUCAUGUGCUAGCUGAAAAUAUUAGAGCAUAAUUAAGCCUAUAUUUCUUACAACUUUAGGUUACUUGGAAGGGUAAAUAUUUUAAUGGGUGCAUUUUCCAUCUAUUUUCUGUUCAGGUGCUUGUGUGUAGGCUUUAUUAAGCAUAAAGAAAUAAACCUAGUCUAAAUUUAUGACACCUCUUUGUUCAUAAUAGAAUAAAGCAUAAUUUUUACUUCCUCUGCAUAAAAUGCACAUACAUCUUCCACAUAAAUUUGAAUUAUUUUUCUCAUUUUCUAAGAGAUGGUGAUUUCUUAAGACGAAUUCCAGCAGAACUCUGAAGUGCUAUUGAGAGAAGAGAACCAAGGGUAAAUGAUGAAUUUAGGUGUUAUUUCAUGUUUUUAAGCCCAAGAGUUAGACAAGCUCUUUUUGUUCUAUCAGUGCAUGGCUUUGAAAUUUCUGAAAUUUUCUUGGCUCUCCUUCUUUGGCUUCUGUCAGUACUCUUUCUCUAUUACCGUAGAUUGGGAUUUCUUAACAUUGCACUACUGAUAUUUUGCUUCAGUAAUUCUUUUUUGGGGGUGCUGCAUUGUGUAUUAUAGGAUAUUUAGUAGCAUUUAUGAUUUUACCCACUAGAUGCCAGUGGUACUUCCUGAGUUAGUUACAACCCAAAACAUCUCCGGAUAUUCCAAACAUCCCUUGGGGAACAAAAAUCAUUCCUAGUUGAGAAGCACCAAAGUUUACAUGCGUCAUCUCCUUCAUUUUAAAUCUGUCAAAGGACUUCCUGAAGAUUUGGGAAUGAUUGGUUUCCUCAUAUUAUUAAUAUUUUAGGCUACUGGAAUUUUAGAAUUAAUCCCAAAGCUUUAUUCAUUAUGCAAAUUCAAAAUCAAGUUUGGAAAAGCUAUGACUUGAUUCAUUCAAACAUAGGAUGGUAUUGCUCUUUACAUCUCAUGAUCAUCGUUUAACCUGUUUUAUGAUUCACUAAUGCUCCUGUGCAUUUUAAUUUUUCCUUACCCUUAAGUCUAAAUAUUUGUGCUUCUUUAUCCACCUUUUUUCAGUAGUUCUUUCUCACUGUCUAGAGUUCCAGCCUCUCCACUUGGCUCCAUGGGUAUUUCUAGUUUAGUGCAGUAGAAAAAUUAUUACACUUUUUUGUGUACUUAUAUCAUGCUUUAGGUUCAUUAGGCCUUUUUUAUAUUUAAUAUUUUCAUUUAUUAAUUUAUUAAGUAUUUUGUGUAUUUUCUAGUAUCAAGCCAUAUACAAGAUUCUGGGCAUCUAGCCAGGAAUGAGGUGGCUUGUAACUGUUGUAGCAAAAUAACUUUUGAUACAAAUAGACUUAACAUAUCUUCCUAGGGUAUUAAUCAAACCUCUCUAGGUUUAUUCUUUUAUAUGCUUCUCGUUAGCUGAAACCUGAUUUUGUAGCCAUUAGUAGGUCUGACGUUUCUCUUCUUUUAGACUCUCGUUUCACUUGCCAAACACUGUAAAUAAUAAUAGGCACCAAAUGACCUAUAGAGACCUCCUUCCCAUCCAGGAACAUCAAGCUGUUGCAUUCUCCCCAUUUCUUCAGAAAACCCAAAUAUUGUUCUCCUCCUCAAAGUGGAGUCUCACUUUGUCAUUUCCUUUCUUUUUAUUUUUACUUUUUGUCUUUUUUCUGUCAUAUGGAAGUUCCCAGGCUAGGGGUCAAAUUGGAGCUGCAGCUUCCAGCCUACACCACAGCUCACAGCAACACCGGGUCCUUAACCCAAUGAGCGAGGCUAGAGAUUGAAUCUGCAUCCUCAUGGAAGCUAGUCAGGUUUGUUAUGCUGAGCCACAAUGGGAACUCCUGUCAUUCUAUUUCUUAACUAUCUGAUUCUCUGAGGCUUUACUGUUCGUCAUUGGCUGACUAUGAUUCAACUUUUUAGUCAGUCACGUAGGUACUUUAUUGUGUGAAAUGGUACUUUUACAUUUUCUAGUUGUCCCAUAAAAUUAAUUUUUAAUGAUUGCAAUUAAUUUCAAUAAUUUAUAGUAUUUAACCUAAUAUAACCAAACUAUUGCUAUUUUAACAUAUAAUCAAUGUAGGAUGAUUAAUGAGCUAGUUUAUUAUUUUUGUUUUGCACUAAGUCCUUGAAUUCUAAUGUUUGUUUUCUAGUUAGAGCAUACCUCACUUUAGACUAUCCAUGUUGUAAGAACUCAAAAGCCCUAUGUGGCUAUUGAAUGAUCUGCUGGAUGGCAAAGAUUUAGAAUAUUAACUUUUCCAGCCUACCACACCCCAAGUGCAGAAAGCCCUAGCAAAUGUGUUAUGGUAUCCCCAAGACUGACAUAGCCUGCCAUUUCUAGACAUAUGUUUUCUUUCAGUUGUUGUUUAUAUUUUUUCCAUUUUGUCAUUAGAAAAACCACUUAAGUGUGUGUUGCUUGGAAAGGAAAGGGUUAGUGCUGUUGGAUUCCUCACUGUGGUGCAUGCAAUAGUCUGGGGUUUACACUAUUAUGUCCCUAUAAAGCAUGCUGCUGUACAUCUCCUAACAAGACUGCCAUUCAUUUUUUUCAAUAAAUCCUGCACAGGGGUAUUAGGGUCUGUGAACUGACAAUUGAUUUACUGUCUGGAAAAUUAUUCUUUAUUGAUUUAUAUUACAUGGAAGCGACUGCAAAUCUAUAGUGUCUCUAAUCAGAGAGAAAAUGCUAAAGUUAGUGUCAUUCUUAUUUAGACAGGCAAUUCCAAGUAGGAGAAUUGGUUUAGCACCUCUAGGUGACAUCUCCGUAUUAUUCAAUUUUUAAUUCCUAUAACCCAUGAAUUAUAAUACAUAAAGCAAGUGAGAGCAGGAUAAUUAAUUUUUUUAAAAGACCCCAAGAGUCCUUUGUGCAAAUAAGUAUUUUAAAUGUCAAUUUAGAGUUCCCAUCAUGGCACAGUGGAAACAAAUCUGACUGGGAACCAUGAGGUUGCAGGUUCGAUCCCUGGCCUCAUUCAGCGGGUUAAGGAUCUGGCACUGCCGUGAGCUGUGGGUUGCAGACAUAGCUUGGAUCCUAUGUUGCUGUGACUGUGGCAUAGGCCAGCAGCUGUAGCUCGGAUUCAACCUCUAGCCUGGGAACCUCCAUAUGCCACAGGUGUGGCCCU
rnacentral:lncRNA from 1 species